rnacentral:tRNA from 1 species
GAGGAGAUGGCUCAGUGGUUAAGAGUACUGGCUGUUCUUCCAGAGGUCCUGAGUUCAAGUCUCAGCACCCACA